rnacentral:rRNA from 1 species
GAUGAACGCUAGCUACAGGCUUAACACAUGCAAGUCGAGGGGAAACGACAUUGAAGCUUGCUUCGAUGGUCGUCGACCGGCGCACGGGUGAGUAACGCGUAUCCAACCUGCCUCUGACCAAGGGAUAACCCGUCGAAAGUCGGCCUAAUACCUUAUGCAGUCGUCGGAAGUCAUCUGAUGACGACGAAAGAUUUCAUCGGUGAGAGAUGGGGAUGCGUCUGAUUAGCUUGUUGGCGGGGUAACGGCCCACCAAGGCAACGAUCAGUAGGGGUUCUGAGAGGAAGGUCCCCCACAUUGGAACUGAGACACGGUCCAAACUCCUACGGGAGGCAGCAGUGAGGAAUAUUGGUCAAUGGGCGAGAGCCUGAGCCAGCCAAGUAGCGUGCAGGAUGACGGCCCUAUGGGUUGUAAACUGCUUUUAUGCGGGGAUAAAGUGAGGGACGUGUCCUUCAUUGCAGGUACCGCAUGAAUAAGGACCGGCUAAUUCCGUG